UACAGAGGGUGCGAGCGUUGUCCGGAAUCACUGGGCGUAAAGGGCGCGUAGGCGGCGCGGUAAGCGUGCGGUGAAAGCCCGGGGCUCAACCCCGGGUCGGCCGUGCGGACUGCCGGGCUGGAGCACUGUAGAGGCAGGUGGAAUUCCGGGUGUAGCGGUUGAAUGCGUAGAGAUCCGGAAGAACACCGGUGGCGAAGGCGGCCUGCUGGGCAGUAGCUGACGCUGAAGCGCGACAGCGUGGGGAGCAAACAGG
rnacentral:rRNA from 1 species